rnacentral:rRNA from 1 species
UACAGAGGUCUCAAGCGUUGUUCGGAUUCAUUGGGCGUAAAGGGUGCGUAGGCGGCGCGGUAAGUCGGGUGUGAAAUCUCGGGGCUUAACUCCGAAACUGCAUUCGAUACUGCCGUGCUUGAGGACUGGAGAGGAGACUGGAAUUUACGGUGUAGCGGUGAAAUGCGUAGAUAUCUGGAGGAACACCGGUGGCGAAGGCGGCAUCCUGGACCGGCAUUGACGCUGAGGCGCGAAAGCCAGGGGAGCAAACGGG